UUUUUUUUUUUUUUUUUUAGGGCUGCAGAUACAGUAUAUGGAAGUAGCAAGGUUAGGAGUCGAAUAGGAGCUGCAGCUGCUGGCCUACACCACAGCCCCAGCAAUGCUAGGUCCGAGCCAUGGCUGCUAUGUACACCACACGUCAUGCAAUGCCAGAUGCUUAACCAACCGAGCAGGGCCAGGGAUCAAACCCGCAUCCUCAUGGAUAAUGGUUGGGUUUGUUUCCACUGAGCCACAAAAACCUUGUGUCUUGAAGUAAGGUUGACCUUAUCUUGCUUUCCUAAGUGAUUAAUAGUCUGCAGGGUCAGGUGUCUGAGCACCAGAGGGGCAGCAGCAGUCUCUUCUUCACUCCAGCCAUCCUUAUCCAGGCCAUACAGUGGCCUUUACCUUGGAUACCUGACUAUCUUUUCAUUUUCCUAACUGAAAAUUUAGGCUCAGUCCUGAAUCUCAGUCUCCUUUUCUCAGUCCUCAAAACUUUGGGGACUUAACCUUGCCUGUAUCCUCUCCAAGAGACUGUAAUGCAAGUCCUCAAUCCAUCAACUCUAUAUCUGAUGAUGAAUUCAAUCUAAAUUAAGCCUUCAGUAGGCCUGCUCUUAUCCAACCUCACUAACCUGAUGAAAAGAUCAUUAUCUGCUCUGUCUUCAUCAUGUCUUUCCAAACACAUGCCUUUUAACUGUCACUUGAUCAGAGAAUUACCAUCUUAGAGUUCCUGCCUCCUUGACCUAAUUCAUCUACUCUUCCUUAACUUUUUCAGUAACAGUAUUUUGGAUGCUUCCAAUUUUUAGAUUUAUGUUGAAAAAGAUUUUCUGUGAAAAGUAAAAAUGAACAAUUUCUCAAAUUGGAAAGAAUGCUUAGGUUUGUGUUACCUAAACAAUGUUAAAGAAUUCUAUUCCAAACACAUAGAACCAAUCUAAUUCAUGAUUUGCAUAUAUGUACUUUUUAUUGAGCACCUACCAUAUGUUAUGUCCUAGUCACUGAAGUUACAUCUGCCCUCAUGAUUUUCACUUAUGAUAUUCCACUAAUCAUGUGGGAGUGGAAGACAUAGACAUGUAAAUAGAUAAAUGACAUAAUUUCAGACAGUGAUAAGUGCCACGAGAAGAGGAAAAGUGACAGAGUGAUGACUGAGAUCACGUGACCUAAUCAAGGAUAGUCUCCUCAAAGAAGAGCUAGAAGAGCUGGUACUUGACUGAAAAAGAAGCCAAACAUACAUAGAUAGGAGAACAAAGAAUUCU
rnacentral:lncRNA from 1 species